AACGAACGCUGGCGGCAGGCCUAACACAUGCAAGUCGAGCGCGCCCUUCGGGGUGAGCGGCGGACGGGUGAGUAACGCGUGGGAACGUGCCCUUUUCUACGGAAUAGCCUCGGGAAACUGAGAGUAAUACCGUAUACGCCCCUUGGGGGAAAGAUUUAUCGGAAAAGGAUCGGCCCGCGUUGGAUUAGGUAGUUGGUGGGGUAAUGGCCUACCAAGCCGACGAUCCAUAGCUGGUUUGAGAGGAUGAUCAGCCACACUGGGACUGAGACACGGCCCAGACUCCUACGGGAGGCAGCAGUGGGGAAUCUUAGACAAUGGGGGCAACCCUGAUCUAGCCAUGCCGCGUGAGUGAUGAAGGCCUUAGGGUUGUAAAGCUCUUUCAGCUGGGAAGAUAAUGACGGUACCAGCAGAAGAAGCCCCGGCUAACUCCGUG
rnacentral:rRNA from 1 species